rnacentral:rRNA from 1 species
GUAGGGGCCUAGACAUCCAUAAGGCACCAGGUUACAUCUGAUCUUGGAAGCUAAGCUGGAUUAGCUAUGGUUAGUACUUGGGUGGGAGACUGCUAGUGAACACUGGGUCUAUAUU